AGCAGUAGCCGCGGUAAUACGUAGGUGGCAAGCGUUGUCCGGAAUUAUUGGGCGUAAAGGGCUCGCAGGCGGUUUCUUAAGUCUGAUGUGAAAGCCCCCGGCUCAACCGGGGAGGGUCAUUGGAAACUGGGAAACUUGAGUGCAGAAGAGGAGAGUGGAAUUCCACGUGUAGCGGUGAAAUGCGUAGAGAUGUGGAGGAACACCAGUGGCGAAGGCGACUCUCUGGUCUGUAACUGACGCUGAGGAGCGAAAGCGUGGGGAGCGAACAGGAUUAGAUACUGUAGUCCCUGUCUCUUAUACACA
rnacentral:rRNA from 1 species